GUCUACGCUCUGACAAAGGCAAACUAUGACUUGUAAAUGUAAAAUAUAAUAUCUGUUGGUCUUCAGUCUUCACUUCAUGUUUGAUUACCAACUCAUUCCUGAGCCACUGCGAGUUAACCAAACAACUACAAGCAAAAACAAAAAAAGGGGAUCAUGAGGUUUCAAUGUGCCUGUUUGCUCCUGGUGCUGUUUUCUCCUGCUGUGCUCUGUAAAACUGAUGACAAGCUCAAAACUAAACAUAUCGUUGUGAGAAAGGGCUCCUGUGAUCAAAUGAUGAAAAACAUCAAUGGCAGAAAUGAAUGCAAGGAGAAAAACACUUUCAUCAAAGAAGAGUAUUUGGAAUCAGUUCUGACUGUGUGUGUAAAAACAAACACAGGAUUCAUCCCCAGAGAGUAUGACGUUAUUAAAUGUAAACAAUCGAGCAAGAACCCUUGUUCAUACAAGUACACUGAAACCAAACUUCAGGUGAUAAAGUGUAACAAUGGAAAACCUGUACACCUUGAUGCGUGGAAGGAUUAAAGUUGAAAGUGAUGCCUCUUUACUUGGCAGUAACAUUUAUCAAAAUGUUAAUUAUGUGGCUAUGUUCAGUUAAUUCUGGAAAUUAAAGGACUUAUUUUGGAAGUGUAAGAAUUUGGAAAACAUUGAAUAUAGCAGAAUAAACUUUCUUCCUCCAGCAAUCUUUGUUUGUCUUUUGAUUUAUUGGACUUACAGCUAUGAACACGUUUUGAAGCAGAAUACAUGCUUGCAUUUUUCACAUUGUCAAUUUAUCUGGACACAAACCAAAAACAAAACUGGAACUGGGAGGACUGGGAGUAUUGUGUUCUGGGGAUUUUUGUAACCUGUGCUAGAGCAAAACUGUUUUGUUUUUUUUACAGCACAUCAACAAAACGCAAACAAAAUUCUUAUA